UACGUAGGGUGCAAGCGUUGUCCGGAAUCAUUGGGCGUAAAGCGCGUGUAGGCGGCCCGGUAAGUCCGCUGUGAAAGUCCAGGGCUCAACCCUGGAAGGCCGGUGGAAACUGUCGGGCUAGAGUCCGGAAGAGGCGAGUGGAAUUCCCGGUGUAGCGGUGAAAUGCGCAGAUAUCGGGAGGAACACCGGUGGCGAAGGCGGUUCUCUGGGCCAUUACUGACGCUGAGGAGCGAAAGCGUGGGGAGCGAACAGG
rnacentral:rRNA from 1 species